AGUAAGUCACCAGCUUACCCUUUUUAUAAUAAUGAGGAAAUAAUGGUUUUGGCUGGUAUUGAAGGAGGGGUAGGAGAGGAAAUAUGGUAAAUGAGGAGGGUUAAGAGUGGAAGGAAAUAAAGGACAGAGAUUGCUUGCGCAAAUCUAGCUAAUCUGGACUUCUGGGGCAAGCAAUUGAGAGCUAAAAAAGAUUUCAGACAGAGAAAGAGAAAAGAGAAAGAGAAAAAAAGAGUGGUGGAAGCAGAAGCAGAAGAACCAUAGUAGUAGCUUCAAUUCAAUUUCCUUCAUACACUCUAUUACACUUACACCCCAUUAUUAUUAUUAUGUUUGCACACAGAGCAGCCAUAGCUCCACGUCCUCCAUCCCUGCCUCCUUAGUAGUUUCUUUCUUAUCUCUUUGCCUUUGCUCAUUCAUUGUUUCAUGGGGUCUUGGAGUUGGUGGCAGCAACUGAAGCUGAAGCAGAAGCAGAAGCCAAAUAUGUUGGUGUGGCCAUGGCCUUUGCUUUUGGCUUCUUCAGAUUCUUAUUAUUAUCAUUAUUAUUAUUAUUGGAUCCAUCAAGCAGGUUGGUUUGUGUUUAUUGAGAUGAUGAUGAUGAUGAUGAUGAGAAACCUUUACUUUUGUCAAGGAUGUGGUGUUCCUGUUUCUGUUUCUGUUUCUGUUUCUCAACAACACCAAUUGUUGUUGUUGUUGUUGUUGUUUCUCUCCUGAUUUGGCUCUUCAUUAUUAUGAUGCUGCUCAUGAAGGUGAUAUUGGCUACACGGCUCAAUCUAUAUUAUUAUUAUUAUUAUUAUUAUUAUUAUUAUUAUUAGCUUAGUCUCAACUCAUAGUAGAAUUUUCCUAUUAUGAUUUCUUUUACUUUUUUGAUUUUCAACAUAUGUUAAUAUGCAAGGUGUUCAUCAUAUUGAUAUUAUUGCUUGUGAUCUCAAUUGCCUCAACAAAUCAUGGCCCUUAUUGAAUCAAUUUAAUUUAAAUUUUUGC
rnacentral:lncRNA from 1 species